CUUUGUUUAGCUUGGAGAUUUGGAGAACACCUAAAAGAGAGAACCAAGCAAGUGAGGGAUGUUCAAGACCAAAUAGAGGGUAGCCACAAGUGGGGGUGGCAAGAACUAGGUGCCUUGGAUGGGGACACCUUCACCUUUGAAAACCUAGGUGCUAAGGGUUUCUCUUCCUCUUAUUGUGUGGUGGCUAGAAUCUAGGAGAGAGGAGCUAGGGAGUGUAAGAG
rnacentral:lncRNA from 1 species